rnacentral:rRNA from 1 species
AGCGGGCAUGCCUGUUCGAGCGUCAUUUCAACCCUCAAGCUCUGCUUGGUGUUGGGGCUCUACGUCCGACGUAGGCCCUGAAAGGAAGUGGCGGGCUCGCUGCAACUCCGAGCGUAGUAAUUCAUUAUCUCGCUAGGGAAGUGCGGCGUGCUCCUGCCGUUAAAGACACCAUCUUUAACCAAGGUUGACCUCGGAUCAGGUAGGAAUACCCGCUGAACUUAAGCAUAUCAAUAAGCGGAGGAAAAGAAACCAACAGGGAUUGCCCUAGUAACGGCGAGUGAAGCGGCAACAGCUCAAAUUUGAAAUCUGGCUUCGGCCCGAGUUGUAAUUUGUAGAGGAUGCUUUUGGUGAGGUGCCUUCUGAGUUCCCUGGAACGGGACGCCAGAGAGGGUGAGAGCCCCGUAUAGUCGGCCACCGAUCCUCUGUAAAGCUCCUUCGACGAGUCGAGUAGUUUGGGAAUGCUGCUCAAAAUGGGAGGUAUAUCUCUUCUAAAGCUAAAUACUGGCCAGAGACCGAUAGCGCACAAGUAGAGUGAUCGAAAGAUGAAAAGCACUUUGAAAAGAGGGUUAAAUAGCACGUGAAAUUGUUGAAAGGGAAGCGCUUGUGACCAGACUUGCGCCGGGCUGAUCAUCCAGUGUUCUCACUGGUGCACUCGACCCGGCUCAGGCCAGCGUCGGUUCUCGCAGGGGGAUAAAAGCUUCGGGAACGUGGCACCUUCGGGUGUGUUAUAGCCCGUUGCUUAAUACCCCUGCGGGGACCGA